UUUUGUUCACAAAAAGAGUACAUACUUUUAGGGCGUAGUAUAAGUAGGCGAAUUGGGACGCAGCAUCUGAUUCAUUUAGGAGCGAAAAACGAAAUUGAGUCAUUGAAUCGUGAUACCAAAUAAUUGAAUCGUGACACUGACUCGUUCGGGAACAAAACAUAAACAGCACUGCUGUGUUGUUGGUAUUGUAAAACUUGCAACGGUUCUUCUGUUGCUUUGUCUUGUCUUAACUGUCUUCGUUGGUGAAUCAGACUGACAAUGUUGUGUCUACAAUCUUGCAAGCCCACUUUCAUUAUGUGAAAAGGAGUAGACAAGAUUUUCACCUAAUCACCUUUUGUGUCCUUGGAAGAAAUAAAUACCUUUGUGUUUGGAGCAACAUGAAGGUAAACACCUCGGGGGGAAAUGACUGCUUUGUGUUGUACCUUCUCAGCAGUUUACAAUUGAAGUCAGUGGUCACCAAAAUUGUUUGGUUAUCAAAAUUCUCCAAAAUAUCUUCAUUCGUAUUCCAUGGAAGAUAGAAUGUCAUCCAGGUUUGGAAUGACAUGAGGGUGAGUAAAUGAUGACAGAAUUUUCAUUUUUGGAUGUAUACAUUUCCAUAGGAUAAUUGGAUAAAGCCAGGUUCAAAAUUCUUGUUUCAUUUUGUUGACAUUUUAGAGUCAAAGAUUUUUACUGA